CCUCUUCGGAAGACCGUCGGCUGUGUGUUUCUCCAGGUUACACUGGAGUUGCAUCAGGAAGGGCAUCCGGCGUAAAACUUGUGCCAAAUGCCUAUGCGGAUCUGGCUAUAUCCGCUGUGGGGACUCCAAACAAAAUGGGAGCAGCCAAAUGGACAACAACAACUACGAC